CUAUCGUUAGUGGCGGACGGGUGAGUAACGCGUGGGUAACCUGCCUUGCACUGGGGGAUAACACUUAGAAAUAGGUGCUAAUACCGCAUAACAGUAGGAGACGCAUGUCUUUUACUUGAAAAUUCCGGUGGUGUAAGAUGGACCCGCGUCUGAUUAGCUUGUUGGCAGGGUAACGGCCCACCAAGGCAACGAUCAGUAGCCGGCCUGAGAGGGUGAACGGCCACAUUGGGACUGAGACACGGCCCAAACUCCUACGGAAGGCAGCAG
rnacentral:rRNA from 1 species